GGAAGAGCAGUGAUGUGCUCCUGCCAAACAGACCAUCCAAGCAUUACAGGAAUUGGCUUCAGCUUUCUGGAGCUGCUCAUGCAGAAACUUGUUAAGGACUCCAGAGGGUGCUCUGAUUUCACCCCUCCUUACCCAAGUGGGGAAGUCGAGUCUUGCUGUUCCUGUGUGCCCACAACUGAGGAGCACUGCCUCCAUAAGUGACCCUACUGAAGCUCCAGUAGGAAAGAAUACACCUCACCCAUAACAAGGAAUAUAGAAGAAGCUUCAGACUGGGGCCAAACAUUCCGUUCAUAAGUUUCAUGUCCUUCUGAAAGGUAAGAAAAAUGGGGGGGAAUCUUUGUCCUCUUUGUACUUUCAUGUGGUACAGGAAGACCAUAGGGAGGUGGUGGAGUCAGCGUCCCUGGAAGUGUUUAAGAAAAGCCUGGAUGUGGCACUCAGUUGACAAGGUGG
rnacentral:lncRNA from 13 species